GGUAAGAUGGCUGAGUGACAAGCGGUGGAUUGUAGCCCCAUGAACAGAGGUUUGAGUCCUCUUCUUACCA
rnacentral:tRNA from 1 species